rnacentral:rRNA from 1 species
UACGAAGGGGGCGAGCGUUGUUCGGAUUUACUGGGCGUAAAGGGCGCGCAGGCGGUUCUGUUUGUCGAGUGUGAAAGCCCCGGGCUCAACCUGGGAACUGCGCUCGAAACGGCGGAACUAGAGUUCGGGAGAGGAGAGUGGAAUUCCCAGUGUAGAGGUGAAAUUCGUAGAUAUUGGGAAGAACACCGGUGGCGAAGGCGGCUCUCUGGGACGGUACUGACGCUGAGACGCGAAAGCGUGGGGAGCGAACAGG